rnacentral:rRNA from 1 species
CAGGACGAACGCUGGCGGCGUGCCUAACACAUGCAAGUCGAACGGACGAGGGGAGCUUGCUCCCCAAGUUAGUGGCGGACGGGUGAGUAACACGUGAGCAACCUGCCCUUCGGAGGGGGACAACAGCGGGAAACUGCUGCUAAUACCGCAUAACGUAUCCUGGAGGCAUCUCCGGGAUACCAAAGAUUUUAUCGCCGAAGGAUGGGCUCGCGUCUGAUUAGAUAGUUGGCGGGGCAACGGCCCACCAAGUCUACGAUCAGUAGCCGGACUGAGAGGUUGAACGGCCACAUUGGGACUGAGAUACGGCCCAGACUCCUACGGGAGGCAGCAGUGGGGAAUAUUGGGCAAUGGGGGGCAACCCUGACCCAGCAACGCCGCGUGGAGGAAGAAGGCUUUCGGGUUGUAAACUCCUUUGACGAGGGACGAUAGUGACGGUACCUCGAAAACAAGCCACGGCUAACUACGUGCCAGCCGCCGC